AUUGAACGCUGGCGGCAUGCUUUACACAUGCAAGUCGAACGGUAACAGGGUGCUCGCACCGCUGACGAGUGGCGAACGGGUGAGUAAUGCGUCGGAACGUGCCGAGUAGUGGGGGAUAACGCAGCGAAAGUUGUGCUAAUACCGCAUACGUACUGAGGUAGAAAGUGGGGGACCUUCGGGCCUCACGCUAUUCGAGCGGCCGACGUCUGAUUAGCUAGUAGGUGAGGUAAAGGCUCACCUAGGCGACGACCAGUAGCGGGUCUGAGAGGAUGAUCCGCCACACUGGGACUGAGACACGGCCCAGACUCCUACGGGAGGCAGCAGUGGGGAAUUUUGGACAAUGGGCGAAAGCCUGAUCCAGCCAUGCCGCGUGUCUGAAGAAGGCCUUCGGGUUGUAAAGGACUUUUGUCAGGGAGGAAAUCCCUAGCGUUAAUACCGCUGGGGGAUGACAGUACCUGAAGAAUAAGCACCGGCUAACUACGUGCCAGCCGCCGCCGUAA
rnacentral:rRNA from 1 species